rnacentral:tRNA from 1 species
GGCUCGGUAGCUUAGUUAGAAAAGCACUUUUGACUAGCGUAUAAGGGUCGUGAAUUCAAAUCUCACCUGAGCUG